rnacentral:misc_RNA from 1 species
AAUACAAACGGACGAAGUCCACAAAAAAAUUGAAGAUUGUCUUUGCCAUAGACAACAAACCAACACUAAAUCCAGACCUUCACGCUGCGAAGCGUACGCAGCACUCACCAGGCAUAUUGGCAGAAAAUUGCCGAAUCCUGGGUUGUUGUACAGCUGUACAAGGGGCUCGUCCAGCAGAAGCGAGCCGACGGUGGGGUAGUUAUUUUGUUUUUAUUGCCUUCAUGCACAUGUGCUGAUGAAUCAAUUCUAUUUUUUUAAAUAAACAUUUGAUUAAUAAGACUCCAAUACGUCAAUACCAGACCCUCUAGACCACCCAUUGGUUGACCACUGCAAAUAGAGCAGCACACCAGCUUUCGGCGCGACAACGUUGGACCUAUCAAGCGGUCACCUUUAAAAGCAUAAAUUUAUACCACCAUCAACAAUCCAAAAAAACUUGAAAGCUAAAAUACAGUGAACCACUUGAAUUGACAGAUAAAACCUAGCCCCACCAAAACUCUACAGUAGUCCUCAAUAAUGACUCAAGACCCAACUCCCAAUUCGUGCAGCCAGUUAAACGAAGGAACUAAUGGUGGGGCCUCAGGCAAAUUAAAAAAAAAAAAAAAAAGACUAAAUACGAUACAAAGAGAGCAAGUCAAACCCAG